rnacentral:tRNA from 1 species
GGCGUCGUGGCCGAGUGGUUAGGCAGCGGAUUGCAAAUCCGUGUACAGCGGUUCGAAUCCGCUCGACGCCU